rnacentral:rRNA from 1 species
GAUGAACGCUAGCGGCAGGCUUAAUACAUGCAAGUCGAGGGGCAGCGCGGGUAGCAAUACCUGGCGGCGACCGGCAAACGGGUGCGGGACACGUACGCAACCUUCCCAUAACUGGUGAAUAGCCUUUCGAAAGAGAGAUUAAUACACCGUAACAUAACGAAGAGGCAUCUCUUUGUUAUUAUAGGCUUCGGCCGGUUUUGGAUGGGCGUGCGCCUGAUUAGGUAGUUGGCGGGGUAACGGCCCACCAAGCCUGCGAUCAGUAACUGGUGUGAGAGCACGACCAGUCACACGGGCACUGAGACCACGGGCCCGACUCCUACGGGAGGCAGCAGUAAGGAAUAUUGGUCAAUGGACGCAAGUCUGAACCAGCCAUGCCGCGUGAAGGAUGAAGGUCCUCUGGAUUGUAAACUUCUUUUAUCUGGGACGAAAAAGACUCAUUCUUGAGCACUUGACGGUACCAGAGGAAUAAGCACCGGCUAACUCCGUGCCAGCAGCCGCGGUAAAGUAC